rnacentral:rRNA from 1 species
AAGGGCUCCGCAGGCGGUUUCCUUAAGUCUGAAUGUGAAAGCCCCCCGGCUCAACCGGGGAGGGUCAUUGGAAACUGGGGAACUUGAGUGCAGAAGAGGAGAGUGGAAUUCCACGUGUAGCGGUGAAAUGCGUAGAGAUGUGGAGGAACACCAGUGGCGAAGGCGACUCUCUGGUCUGUAACUGACGCUGAGGAGCGAAAGCGUGGGGAGCGAACAGGAUUAGAUACCCUGGUAGUCCACGCCGUAAACGAUGAGUGCUAAGUGUUAGGGGGUUUCCGCCCCUUAGUGCUGCAGCUAACGCAUUAAGCACUCCGCCUGGGGAGUACGGUCGCAAGACUGAAACUCAAAGGAAUUGACGGGGGCCCGCACAAGCGGUGGAGCAUGUGGUUUAAUUCGAAGCAACGCGAAGAACCUUACCAGGUCUUGACAUCCUCUGACAAUCCUAGAGAUAGGACGUCCCCUUCGGGGGCAGAGUGACAGGUGGUGCAUGGUUGUCGUCAGCUCGUGUCGUGAGAUGUUGGGUUAAGUCCCGCAACGAGCGCAACCCUUGAUCUUAGUUGCCAGCAUUCAGUUGGGCACUCUAAGGUGACUGCCGGUGACAAACCGGAGGAAGGUGGGGAUGACGUCAAAUCAUCAUGCCCCUUAUGACCUGGGCUACACACGUGCUACAAUGGACAGAACAAAGGGCAGCGAAACCGCGAGGUUAAGCCAAUCCCACAAAUCUGUUCUCAGUUCGGAUCGCAGUCUGCAACUCGACUGCGUGAAGCUGGAAUCGCUAGUAAUCGCGGAUC